rnacentral:rRNA from 1 species
GAUUAACGCUGGCGGCGUGCAUAACACAUGCAAGUCGAACGAUGAGACUUAAAUGAUUUCUUCGGAAUGAACUUAAGUGGCUUAUUGGCGAACGGGUGAGUAACUCGUGAGUAACCUGCCUUACCCAAGGGGAUAGCCGUCGGAAACGACGUAUAAUACCGUAUGACACUAUCCCUUCGCAUGAAGCGAUAGUCCUAGUGUUAGCGGUGUAAGGUGCACUUGAGUCUGAUUAGCUAGUUGGUGAGGAAAAAGCCCUCCAAGGGAACGAGCAGAAGCCGGCUUGGGAGAGUGGUCGGCAACAUUGGGACUGAGACACGGCCCAGACUCCUACGAGAGGCAGCAGGGGGGAAUUAGGCACGAUGGGGGAAACACGGAGGCAGCGACGCCGCGUGAUUUAGAAAGCCUUCGGGUAGUAAAAAGCUUUUGUAUAGGAAGAAAAUGACGGUACUAUACGAAUAAGGUCCGGCUAAUUACGUG